AUUUUUUUCAGUCAAUUAUCAUUAACUGAGCAUAAAUCAGACAUUUUCAUCUAUUGUCAUUGAUCCAACUCCAUGGGUUUUACUAGUGAAUCAAUGUUGUAGAAGAUGACUGUGUUUCCACGGUAACUACGGAGCCUCUGAACGUCCAA